GAUGAACGCUGGCGGCGUGCUUAACACAUGCAAGUCGAACGAAGCAUUUGCGACAGAUUUUUUCGGAAUGAAGUUGCUUAUGACUGAGUGGCGGACGGGUGAGUAACGCGUGGGUAACCUGCCUUGUACUGGGGGAUAGCAGCUGGAAACGGCUGGUAAUACCGCAUAAGCGCACAAUGUUGCAUGACAUGGUGUGAAAAACUCCGGUGGUAUAAGAUGGACCCGCGUCUGAUUAGCUAGUUGGUGAGAUAACAGCCCACCAAGGCGACGAUCAGUAGCCGACCUGAGAGGGUGACCGGCCACAUUGGGACUGAGACACGGCCCAGACUCCUACGGGAGGCAGCAGUGGGGAAUAUUGCACAAUGGAGGAAACUCUGAUGCAGCGACGCCGCGUGAGUGAAGAAGUAAUUCGUUAUGUAAAGCUCUAUCAGCAGGGAAGAUAGUGACGGUACCUGACCAAGAAGCUCCGGCUAAAUACGUG
rnacentral:rRNA from 1 species